AGCUUGCACUGCUUCAACUUAGCCGACCGAUUCGCCUGAACAAAAUAUAACUCAAUCACAUUGGAAAGAAAAAAGCUUAAAUUUUAUUGUAUAAAAUGUAAAAGGAAACAAAAAUUUGAAACAGAGAAAAAAAAACAAAUUAAACAAGUUGUUACCCUUUUUUUCUUGGCGAAAUCUUUGGGGUUAGAGGAAAGCAUAGGGAUUGAAGCAUUGGCGACGGAAUCGGAACCCAUUAUGGUUUCUGAGUCGACUCGGUAAUUAAAUUUGGCAAAAACCCUAAAUUGAUCAGAGGAAUAUCACAAAGAAUUAGAGAGAAGGAAGGAUAGGUCGAUUGGUAUAGAGAUAGAAGAUAACGGAAAUUUGCUUAAUGCAAUGCUCGCCUCUUUUUAUUUUUCGGACUCUAAUCUAAAAUCUAAAAUUAAUAAC
rnacentral:lncRNA from 1 species